AUUGAACGCUGGCGGCAGGCCUAACACAUGCAAGUCGAACGAGUGGCGGACGGGUGAGUAAUGUCUGGGAAACUGCCUGAUGGAGGGGGAUAACUACUGGAAACGGUAGCUAAUACCGCAUACCCUGAAAUGUGCACAGAUGGGAUUGGCUAGUUGGUGGGGUAACGGCUCACCAAGGCGACGAUCCCUAGCUGGGCUGAGAGGAUGACAAGGCACCCUAGAACUGAGACCCGGUCCAGACUCAUAGGCGAGGCAGCAGUGGGGAAUAUUGCACAAGGGGCGCAGGCCUGGUCCAGCCCUGCCGCGUGUCUGAAGAAGGCCUUCGGGUUGUAAAGUACUUUCAGCGGUGAGGCGUUACUCGCAGAAGAAGCACCGGCUAACUCCGUGCCAGCAGCCGCGGUAAUAC
rnacentral:rRNA from 1 species